rnacentral:rRNA from 1 species
AGCGAACGCUGGCGGCAGGCCUAACACAUGCAAGUCGAGCGCCCGUAGCAAUACGGGAGCGGCAGACGGGUGAGUAACACGUGGGAACGUGCCCUUUGGUUCGGAAUAACUCAGGGAAACUUGAGCUAAUACCGGAUAAGCCCUUACGGGGAAAGAUUUAUCGCCGAUGGAGCGGCCCGCGUCCGAUUAGCUAGUUGGUGGGGUAAUGGCCCACCAAGGCUACGAUCGGUAGCUGGUCUGAGAGGAUGACCAGCCACACUGGGACUGAGACACGGCCCAGACUCCUACGGGAGGCAGCAGUGGGGAAUAUUGGACAAUGGGGGCAACCCUGAUCCAGCCAUGCCGCGUGGGUGAUGAAGGCCCUAGGGUUGUAAAGCCCUUUCGGCGGGGAAGAUAAUGACGGUACCCGCAGAAGAAGCCCCGGCUAACUUCGUGCCAGCCGCCGCCGUAACAC